CAAAACAAGCGCCAACUUUUGGAGACAGCUGUUGACAAUGAAUAGGCAGGGAAAAUGCAUGUGAAAAAACCUCCUACAUGUUUCUGCGGAAAGAACUGGCAGUGAGGUUGGCC